CAGAACUCUGUAGUGAGCUCCUGCCAUGGCUAGACCUGCCAGGAAACUUUAGUUCUUAAAAGAAGCCCAAAUAUUCUUCCAUCACCUCAGAACUAUGAUGGUCUCUGGAAGCCAAGGAAAAAACAAAACAAAAAUGUAAAAUGAGAUUCAAAUUGCAAAACAAAGGCGAAUACAGAGGCACAAGUGGAGGAGUUUACUCGAUAGAAACAAGAGCACAGGCCUAGCCGCUCCGCGGCAUGUGGGAUCUUCCCGGACCGGGGCACGAACCCGUGUCCCCUGCAUCAGCAGGCAGACUCUCAACUACUG